AUUAGAUAUUAAUAAUGUAAAAAUAAUACAUAAAGAGAAAAAUAUUGUAAAAAGAAAAUUUAAAGAACAUUUCGCGAUAAUUAUGCAAAGUAAUGUAAUGAAUUUGAAUAAUGGGGUGAUACCAGCGGAAUGCUGGGAAGAGUUUGUGUUUCUUAAAGAUUGUAAACGCGAUGGUGUCAGUGAGAAAGAUGUGUCUUCUUCUGUGUCUACGACGGAAAAAAAUGUGUCGUCUGAGAUACCUUCUGCUGUUCCUAUUGUACACUCUAGUCAUCAGAAACCCUACUGAAGAGGCCUUGACAGGCGAAAUGCAUUUGGGUCUACGGACUCGGGACUUAUUAAGCCUCCAAAGGUCAGAAACGAAUGGAAAACUAGUAGUUUUCCGUGUACUAAAGAUUAGUACAGUACGGUAAUAAUAAUAAAAAAAUAGAUUAUCUGACUCCAUCGAUUCUUUUUAGAAUAUUUUUA